rnacentral:lncRNA from 1 species
UGUUUACAUGUUAAUCACCUUCACAGUAACAUUUGUGGCAAUAGGACAAGGGGAAAGGGGGACAAACUGAAGCAUAGGAAUUUCUGCACAAAUGUGCAUAAGAACUUCUUUACAGUUAGGGUGAUGGAGUCCUGGAACAGGCUGUCCAGAGAGGUUGUGAAUUCUCUAUCUCUGGAGAUAUUCAAGACCCUCCUGAAUGCCUACCUGUGCAGCCAGCUAUAGGGGACCUGCUUUGCAAGGGUAUUGGACUUGAUCAUCUCUGGAGGUCCCUUUCUAGUCCUUACAAUUUUGUGAUUCUGUGAUUUUUUUCUCUGUUUAAACAUAAUUUUUUAUGUUCCAAUCUAUGUCAUUUGCUUGUUGGGCACACGAAGAAAAGUCUAAUUUCUUUUUUUAAUCUCACCAUAGGCGGUAUUGCAUAUAGAUAUGAUUUCCCUUAAAUUUCUCUAUUCCAGGACGAAAAGUCCCAGCUCUCUCAGCCUUUCCUUAUAUGAGAAAUGCUCUAGCCCAUUAGUCAUCUUCAUGGCCAUUUGUUGGCUUCUCUCCAAUGUCUCUAUGUACUGGGGAGUCCAGCAUUUCAGAUGUGGCCUCAUCAGUGCCUGAAUACAGGGGAAGAAUGAGGUCUGUGUCAUCCCAUAUUUUACUGUGGACAGAUGGACAGCCACAAUGAUGCUCCUGAGGUCUUCUGUUGCAAAGCACAUACAGGGACAGAAGAAAGUGGAAAGAGUACUUUCAUUAAACAAAUGAGGAUUAUCCAUGGAUCAGGUUACACAGAAGACAGGAAAGGCUUCACAAACUGGUUUAUCAAAACAUAUAUACUGCCAUGCAAGCUAUGAUCAAAGCCAUAGACACUCUGAAAAUACAGUACACAUCUGAAGAAAAUGAGAUAAGAAAGUACAAAGAAAAUUCAAGAUUCAGUGCAUGAAAUUUCAGCCCGUACAUGAGUGAUCUUACUCAUAACUACUGCAAGUAGAGCAUUAAAGUGUGCAUUUCAUGCAGUGAGUUUGAUGUCCCACGGUCUGAAUGUGAAGAUAGGCAGGGAAAGGUGGGUAAGGGAUUGAGGAUGGGCAGGGAGAGAGGAUAUUCAUUGUUACAAGUUGGUAAUAAGUAAUGAGCACCAAUAAUUUUCUUUUGGAAUCUAAUUUACGAGUUAGUAAUACAUAGUGGCUCGUCAGUAGCACUCCAGAAUGAGAAGCUUUGGGUAUAUUUUGUAGGGAAGAAUUAGAAUUAAUAAACAGAAGUAUGCUUUGAAACACGCUACCUUUUGGAUUUGAUAAUAACCUCUACGAACUUAAUUAACUUGAAUAUGAGAAUGUCUUCUCCAAACUUUUUUCUUUUUUUUCU